AAUGGGGAAACCCAGUGUGACUCGUCACACUAUCAUUAACUGAAUCCAUAGGUUAAUGAGGCGAACCGGGGGAACUGAAACAUCUAAGUACCCCGAGGAAAAGAAAUCAACCGAGAUUCCCCCAGUAGCGGCGAGCGAACGGGGAGGAGCCCAGAGCCUGAAUCAGCAUGUGUGUUAGUGGAAGCGUCUGGAAAGGCGCGCGAUACAGGGUGACAGCCCCGUACACAAAAGCGCAUGUGCUGUGAGCUCGAUGAGUAGGGCGGGACACGUGGUAUCCUGUCUGAAUAUGGGGGGACCAUCCUCCAAGGCUAAAUACUCCUGACUGACCGAUAGUGAACCAGUACCGUGAGGGAAAGGCGAAAAGAACCCCGGCGAGGGGAGUGAAAAAGAACCUGAAACCGU
rnacentral:rRNA from 3 species